CUGAAGAAUAAACCCCCUUGGUUGACC
rnacentral:piRNA from 1 species